CACACUUUAGUGGGACAACCACCAAAAGCCCUGUUCUCAAACUUUGAUAUGCAAAUAAAUCACAAAUAGGGAAUGUCUUAAAUUGCAGGUUGUGAUUCUGUAAGUCAAGAAUGGACCUGAAAUUCUGCACCCAUGCCAUACACCGGUACCAAGUUAAAACUCUUGAAAAUGUGCCCGGGAUGGAGAAUUGCGAGAAUUCAUGAAGAGAAGUACCCAACCAUUUGUUGGAAGAGCACCCGGCAUCAACAAAACAAUUGUAUCUGUGGUAGAUAAAGCAUUCUCUCAACUACUGGGGAAAUUUGUUUUGACAUCACAUUAGGAUUAAAUCAGUUAUGCAAUAUUC